GUUCCUGCCUCCCCUGAGGCCUUCUGAGAAUCCCCCAGUCCUUGCUGGCAGGACAGUCUAAGAAGCUGAGAAAUAAAUAUCCUUGGCUCUGUACAGCACUGCUCAGCAACAACUGUGUGUUAUCAACAUUGUUGAUAAAACCAGCACUGACAUGUUCUAAAGAUAUGUGGCAGCAGAGGGGCAAUCUGACAAAACAGUAUUUGUCAUGGAAGUGCAUAUGAAGCAGAGGUCUGUCAUUGAAUUCCUCCAUGCACCUACUGACAUUUAUCAGUGCUUCCUGGGCAUUGAUGGAGACCAAACAGUGGAUGUGAGCACAGUGAGGUGAAUUAUAGUCUGGACCAUCCCAUGUGAAUUUCAGUGAUGCUAUUCUUCCCAUCAGCUUUGGGACUUCAACUUUUCCUGGUCCAGAGAUUUUAUGUAUAUCGUUCCAAGCACUGAAUCCUGAGGUUUUUUUCUCCUUUCUUGCUAUAAGCAGUCUGUACUGUCUGAUUACUAAUACAGCUUCUGCACAGUUGGUCCAAUGGAUUGACAGUAUAUCAGAUAUUAAAUACAUAAAAACCACUAGGGUGUAUGUUUAACUGAUGGUCCUUGCACAGGAGGAUUUUAAGAGUUUUCCAAAGACUAUUCAAAGCUGUUGUGAACAUUUCAGACCAAUUGCAGUCACCUUCAAAUGUUGUGUAGCAAGAAAAGAGUAAAAGGACCUUCCAAGAAAAGUACCUUCCUACAUAGAAAUAAAAUGAAAUGUGUGUUCAGUUACCUUGAUGUCUAGUCUUAUUUAACCCCUUUUUGUAAUUUACUUGUAUUUCCCUAAUACUUAAAGGCAGAAGUCAAGACUGUAAUCUUUAGUGCUUGUAUGAACAUGGAGGAAAGGACAAUAUUUGGGCUGGAAAAAAAAAAAAGUCAGACUAGCUAGCCAGGACAGAGAAAAAACAGCACGGGAACAGACACAAACAGAUAAAACCAUUUGUCCAAGGCCACGAAGAAGGGCAGUGGUAGAGAUUGGAGCAGAAUUUAAGAUUUCUGACUUCCAAUAUUAGAGUCCUAAUAAAUAAUUCAUUUAAUUUCCUUGUUUUUA